rnacentral:rRNA from 1 species
GAUGAACGCUGGCUACAGGCUUAACACAUGCAAGUCGAGGGGAAACGCCGGGGAAGCUUGCUUCCCCGGGCGUCGACCGGCGCACGGGUGAGUAACGCGUAUCCAACCUGCCUCUGACUGAGGGAUAACCCGUCGAAAGUCGGCCUAAUACCUCAUGGCAUCGUCUGCGGGCAUCCAACGACGAUUAAAGAUUUCAUCGGUCAGGGAUGGGGAUGCGUCUGAUUAGCUUGUUGGCGGGGUAACGGCCCACCAAGGCUACGAUCAGUAGGGGUUCUGAGAGGAAGGUCCCCCACAUUGGAACUGAGACACGGUCCAAACUCCUACGGGAGGCAGCAGUGAGGAAUAUUGGUCAAGGGGCGGGAGCCUGAACCAGCCAAGUAGCGUGCAGGAUGACGGCCCUAUGGGUUGUAAACUGCUUUUAGGCGGGGAUAAAGUGAGGGACGUGUCCUUCAUUGCAGGUACCGCAUGAAUAAGGACCGGCUAAUUCCGUG